UCGGGAGCUGACCAGGUUGUCCUAGGUGUUUACUCGGACUCGAAUUCUCUCGUUUUAGAAUCUCGAGGCUCUUCUGACUUCUCGCUCUCAGAGGGAGACAAUAGAUGCUUUUUGUUUACAGGCUUCUGAGUGCAGUUCCUCAGGGAUCUGUCACACACUGAAGCCGGACCAAUGCAAAGGCAGUCAUUUUCUGAAAUCAAAGACUCUUGGAGUCACUGUUUCAAAAAUCACUGCUCCUGAGAGUAACAUGAUGUUGUGUUGCUGAAGCGAAAACUGUGCAGUGCCACUUGAUCUUCAAAUUGCACAUCUCCUGGUGGACUUGUUGCUGUCUUGCAGUCCUGCUUCCAUUGGCUUAUCUUUGUUUGGUCGAAAAGCGGGGAAAAGUAGAAGCAAUUGAUUACAAAUGGAACUGGCUCUUAGUGAAAGCAGCUCUGAUGUUGUGUUGAUGAAUUCUCAUUUGGAGAAAGGAGUUGGGUAUGUAAUUGGUCUGAAAUGGGUUUGUGGUGUCGACUGGUCACCAACCACUCCAAGAGCUGUUUCCAUGGUAUCUGUUAACAGGAUCGUGUUACCUGUGAGCUCCUUCCCUCAGCGGUUAAUGUUAAAGCAAAGGGGGCUCACCCGCUGACAAAGAUCCCAUUCCAUUAAAGAUGUGCAGUUCUCCCUUCAACCCACAUGACUGCACAAAGGAAAAAACAAACAGAUUUUGGUUGUUUCUGCAAUCUUGCUCGGUGUAAAUUGGCUGUCACCUCCCUUACAGUUAUCACCAUAUUUGGAAUGUACUUCAUUGGCUGUGAAGCACUUUGGGAUAUCCUGUAGUGCAGGAGGCUUGAAGCUUGAUGAAUACUCUGGGUCUUCGGGGGGUGUGUGUAUGUGUCUGUCAGUGGGUAUUUUGGCAGACCUUGGCCCUGAGUCUGUUUCUCAUUCCAUCGUUCCUCUUUUUGUUUCGUUCUUUCAGUUGAACCUGACAAGGGACUGGAAGAUGGCACCAAUGACACACUGGAUUCUGCUGCUCAGGAAUGACCGGCAAACAGAGGAAAUGGAGAAACCCCUUCCUGGUGAAGAUGACCCAGGCUGUGGGCUCAUAGCCAACCUCUUUGUUAAAAGGGACCUGUUCACUUCUGUGCACCAUUAAAAAGCUAUCUGUGGUACGGA